rnacentral:rRNA from 1 species
UGGGGAAUAUUGGACAAUGGGCGCAAGCCUGAUCCAGCCAUGCCGCGUGAGUGAUGAAGGCCCUAGGGUUGUAAAGCUCUUUUUGUGCGGGAAGAUAAUGACGGUACCGCAAGAAUAAGCCCCGGCUAACUUCGUGCCAGCAGCCGCGGUAAUACGAAGGGGGCUAGCGUUGCUCGGAAUCACUGGGCGUAAAGGGUGCGUAGGCGGGUCUUUAAGUCAGAGGUGAAAUCCUGGAGCUCAACUCCAGAACUGCCUUUGAUACUGAAGAUCUUGAGUUCGGGAGAGGUGAGUGGAACUGCGAGUGUAGAGGUGAAAUUCGUAGAUAUUCGCAAGAACACCAGUGGCGAAGGCGGCUCACUGGCCCGAUACUGACGCUGAGGCACGAAAGCGUGGGGAGCAAACAGGAUUAGAUACCCCCGUAGUCCCUGAGCGGGCUGGCAAGGCGCAU